CCUACGGGAGGCAGCAGUGAGGGAUAUUGGUCAAUGGUGGAGACCCUGAACCAGCAAAGCCGCGUGAGGGAAGAAGGUUUUCGGAUUGUAAAACUCUGUCCUCUGUGAAAAUGAUGACGGUAGCCGAGGCGGAAGCUCCGGCUAACUACGAGACAGAAGCGGCGGUAAUACGGAGGGAGCCAGGGUUUUCCGGAUUUACUGGGUGUAAAGGGUGCGUAGGCGGCUUUGCAAGUCAGAAGUGAAACCCAUGGGCUUAACCCAUGAACUGCCGUUGAAACUGCAGGUCUUGAGUGGAGUAGAGGUAGGCGGAAUUCCCGGUGUAGCGGUGAAAUGCGUAGAGAUCGGGAGGAACACCAGUUGCGAAGGCGGCCUGCUGGGCUCUAACUGACGCUGAGGCACGAAAGCGUGGGUAGCAAACAGGAUUAGAUACCCGUGUAGUC
rnacentral:rRNA from 1 species